AACCUGCGNAACUCGAAUGACGAACGGGAGAUUCAUCGUCAUGCGGCGGGCGGCGUUCCGUCGCGCGAUGGACGGCCCUCCGGCGAUCUCGGUCGUCGGUGCGAGUCGCUCACGCGCGCGGUGACCGCAUCACGUCCGUCGACGGCGUGCACUUCUCCCUUAGUACUGCAUCGCGACCCGCUCGAUGUCGGUCUAAGCACCGCACGGGAGCCCUCGGCGUCUCUGUGCGCCGAGGACCGUUGUGGCUGCUGACCGGCUGUCUGGCGGUAGUGACAUGAACGCGCACGCGCUUGUCGCGUCCGGCCGACGCAAGGUCGCCGCCGACGCCGCCGUGUCACCUAGUGCGGCCGGUGUGCGUCCGGUGCCUGCCAAUCGCAGCCGUGCGUCUCGACGUGCGUGUAUCGAGUCUGCGAUGUUUUUGUUUCGGGCACUCGCAGGACCCGUCUUGAACACGGACCAAGGAGUUUAGCAUGUGUGCGAGUCACUAGGUCAUCUACUAACCGAAGGGCGUAACGAAAGUGAAGGCGUGCGCUUGUCGCGCGCUCGGGGAGGAUGGCGGUCGCACUAACGGUGCCGCCCGCACUCCCGAGGCGUCCCGUUCGAAUCUGUCGAUGUGGGCGCGCUCAGAGCACAGAUGCUGGACCCGAAAGAUGGUGAACUAUGCCUGGUCAGGUCGAAGUCAGGGGAAACCCUGAUGGAGGACCGUAGCGAUUCUGACGUGCAAAUCGAUCGUCGGAACUGGNUAUAGGGGRGAAWAMM
rnacentral:rRNA from 1 species